GAACCGCGAUAAUUUAUGUGAAUUGCAGAAUUGCGUGAUCAUUGAAGUCUUGAAUGUAAAUGGCGGGAGUCCCUUUAUGGUACUCCUGUUGACGAAAGAGCGCGAAUACUUUAUUUCAACCUCCCUGAGAGGGUGAUUACUUGGCAUCUGCCUUGAAGGGUGGCAUUUGCUCAAAUUUGACCUUCAGUACUUUAAGUUGGAUUAUUCUGUCUAAGAGUACUUGAUAAUCGUCAUACUAUUACCUUAUUAACCUCUUUCGUCAACGACUACCCACCGAACUUAAGC
rnacentral:misc_RNA from 1 species